rnacentral:rRNA from 1 species
UACGUAGGGGGCUAGCGUUGUCCGGAUUUAUUGGGCGUAAAGAGCUCGUAGGCGGCUUGUCGCGUCGUUCGUGAAAACCCGGGGCUCAACUCCGGGCUUGCGGGCGAUACGGGCAGGCUAGAGUUCGGUAGGGGAGACUGGAAUUCCUGGUGUAGCGGUGAAAUGCGCAGAUAUCAGGAGGAACACCGGUGGCGAAGGCGGGUCUCUGGGCCGUAACUGACGCUGAGGAGCGAAAGCGUGGGGAGCGAACAGG